AUGCUCACUUUGGCAGCACAUACACUAAAAUUGGAAUGAUAGAAAAUUAGUUGGACCUUGUACAUGGAUGAUGUACCAAUUUGUGAAGUGUUCCAUAUUUUU
ensembl:snRNA U6 U6 spliceosomal RNA